rnacentral:ncRNA from 1 species
CUAGAAGGGCAAACUUGCCGAAAGACAAGGACGCAAAGCCACGGGCCUAACGUAAGUUUACCAAGGCGGCCGGGUU